UACGUAGGGGGCAAGCGUUGUCCGGAAUCAUUGGGCGUAAAGCGCGUGUAGGCGGCCCGGUAAGUCCGCUGUGAAAGUCCAGGGCUCAACCCUGGAAUGCCGGUGGAUACUGUCGGGCUCGAGUCCGGAAGAGGCGAGUGGAAUUCCUGGUGUAGCGGUGAAAUGCGUAGAGAUCAUGAGGAAGACCAGUGGCGAAGGCGGGUCUCUGGACAGUUCCUGACACUGAGACACGAAGGCCAGGGGAGCAAACGGG
rnacentral:rRNA from 1 species